CUUUGGUAUAAGUAAUUGUUAGUGGCAGACGGGUGAGUAAUGCGUAGGAAUCUACCUAGUAGUAUGGAAUAGCCAUUAGAAAUGAUGGGUAAUACUGUAUAGUCCCUGCGGGGGAAAGAUUUAUCGCUAUUAGAUGAGCCUAUGUUAGAUUAGCUAGUUGGUAAGGUAAUGGCUUACCAAGGCUAUGAUCUAUAGCUGGUCUGAGAGGACGAUCAGCCACACUGGAACUGAGAUACGGUCCAGACUCCUACGGGAGGCAGCAGUGGGGAAUAUUGGACAAUGGGCGAAAGCCUGAUCCAGCUAUGCCGCGUGAGUGAAGAAGG
rnacentral:rRNA from 1 species